AAAAAAGAAAAAGAAAAAAGAAAAAUCAGAAGGAGAAAAGCGAGGAGAUCUGCCUGCCAGGACAUCUCAAUUUGCACAAGCCUACAGCUUCUUCCUCCUUCAUAUCUCCCCGAUCUGAUCGGACCUUGCCUCUGCUCUGUUUGUCCGUACGAUUCUAAGAUUCAGUGUUUUCCUAAUUUCCAGAAUUCAAACAUAUUUCAAAUUCGAUUCCAUUUUGGCUUACCGUUUGAAAAAUAUUAUAUUUAUUUAUUUAUUUUAAAAAGCCUGAUACGUAUUGAAUUCCAAACUCUAGGGUUUCUCUUUGGGAUUUUUGAUGCCGAUUGGUCACGGUUUUUUUAUUUGUUUUUUGCUAGAUGGUUUAAUUGGAUGAGAUUUGAGGUUGUUAUUUUUUGGGGAUUUGGAGGGUUAAAUGGCGUCGGCGCAGGUGUUGCCAAGCUCACGGAAGCAAGAGCAUCUUGAAGCCGGAAAGAGACGGCUGGAAGAGUUCCGUAAGAAAAAAACAGCAGACCGAGCCAAAAAAGCUGCAGCCACAAGUCAACCUCUUUCUUCUGAUGUUAUUGUAGAUCAGAAACAACCUUUAGAGGCUGAACGUGUAAGGCUUACAGAUUCUGAUAGAGCUGGUACAUCUGAUGGACCUGGCAGAACUAUUGAACCUUACAAUGGAAUUAUCAAUAAUGACAGCAACAUAAUUAAUAUUACCUCAAAAGCUGGGCAAAACUUUUUGAAAGAUGCAAAUGCUAAUCCUCCAUCAAAGAGUGAUUCCAAGACAUCUUUGGCGGAUCUAGUGCUGAGACACACAAAUAAUCAUGAUUUUAAGAGAUAUGAUGCAUCAGGAUUUACUGGAGCAGGUGCUAAUAACAGCCCAGGGACAGAUGAAAUGAGUAGUGACUCCAAAAAAUAUGUUGGGAGCCAAGGCAGAAUGCCAUAUGAGAAAUUGGCUGACCAUUCUAUUGAUCCACAUUCACAAGAAGGUCAAGUUUUUGAAAGCAGUUCUAAUCAAUGUACUCCAUUCCAGUCAACAGAAAACAAUAGUCUUUUAAAGGAUUAUGCAUUUACCUCACCUCAAAAUUCUGCCUCUCAACUGAAAAUUAAGAGCAGUUAUCCCAGCACACCGGCCACUGGUGUGGACUUUAUUCAACCUAGUAACAACUUGAGAGAGUCCAGUCUUGAGGUUGAGCAAGACACACAUGGUGGCAUGCACUUCAAUGGCUCCUUGAAUUCAGAUUUUGGUGAAAGAAAUUUUAGUAGCUUACCCGAUAGUUUUCCUACUGUGUAUGGUAGAGAUGUGCAAACAUCCGAAUCAAUUGGUUUCAAUUCAGAUACCAGGAGCUCCACAAAUCAUGUUCAACUAUUUUCAGGAACAUCUGAACCUAAUUCUAGGAGAUCUCGUCCAUCCUUCCUUGAUGCACUUAAUGUUCCUAGAGCUCCUUCAACGAAUUCUUUCCAAAGUAAUGAUUCUCAGAAGGAGUCGUUUAUGCUUAGUACCUUGACAUCAGAUGGCUUGGAUGAUCUAGGAUCCUCUGCCUUUCAUAAGCCAUCAGUGGACACUGAAACUGUGGGACAGCAUUUCAUGAAAUUUUCCAUGUCCUCCAGCAAUGGGUUUGAUCUAAUGACAUCAAAUGUUAAUGAGAAUAGCUUGGAGAGAAAGCAUGAUUUAUAUGCAUCUAAACCAAAUGAAGACUUUGUUGCUUUAGAACAGGGAGUGGGUGCAUGGAUUUGGAGGGUUGGUGUUGGUCCUUCUGAUAUUGUAUUCUUGAGGUUAUGCACUUAUGUUUGCCCAUCCAGGGCUUUCUGAUGCUGUUGAAAGGUUUUGAAACUAGUGCAUGAAGCAUUAUCGAAGAAUAUUUUCUAAAUGCCUUGAAGAGUUCAAAUGUUAUGGCCUUCUAUACAGAAAGCUAAACAGCACUUUUACAUGUUUUCACGCAUUUCUAUUUGUUAUGAUCACUUUAUGUGUAUUACUGUAUUGGUUGUUGCUAUCUUUAUGAGUUUGUUGCAUUGGAUUCCUGCCUCUACUGCCAUUAAAAUUGUUUCUCUUGUGCAGCAUAUUGAAGACUUGACACAAGAAAAAUUCUCUUUGCAACGAGCUCUUGAAGCUUCUCGUGCCUUGGCAGAGUCCCUGGCUGCUGAAAACUCAUCAUUGACAGAUAAUUAUAACCAACAGAGAACUGUUGUCAACCAACUAAAAUCUGACAUGGAGAUAUUGCAGGAGGAAAUCAAGGCUCAUUUGGUCAGUUGUAAUUGUCUCCUAGUCCUACUUGCUAUUUUUUGUGUGUAUGUUACUUGUUAGAGAAGUUACCUUUCAGGAUUACAUAUGUUAAGAUUCCAAUUUUUUUAAUGAAUCUAUUGGAUUUAAUAUGGGAAGUUGUGAUAUAAAUGAUGCCUGCUAUCUACAUUCAUACUAAAAUGAUCUUGAAACUGCUUAAGUGCAGCACCUGAUGGUGAUGGCCAUGGUUGCCUCUAUGUCUGGCAUUAUGGUUCUCUAGCUCAUUUGAGUGAUGGAAUGAGUUGCAAUUUGGUAUAUUCUUAAUCCUCAGCUGAGCUAAGCAUAACUCUUCAAUUCAAUGAAAGUUCAGUGCUCUUAAGUUGGAUACCAAACAUUCCAAUAGCCAGUUUGGUGGAGAGUGUUCAUUCUUGUCCUGCUGUGAUAAAAUUCUUUAAGAUUGAAUUUAUAAUUUUUAGGAUUUCUGAAAUGAAAAAGGAGAACUCAAAUUGCUGUCAAACAUUUGCAAUCAUGUUCUACCGUUAUAGUUGUUUCCAUUGUCUAAUCUGUGGACUAUAACAGUUAUCCUCUUUAAAAGGUUAUAAGCCAAUUUUGAGAACAAUUUCAUUGUUCAAUUUGGUUGUCACUGGUCAUCUGGUCAUUUCAUGGUCCCUGAUGACCAUUGUUAUCCAUUUAUCAUCACUGUUGCUUAUCAAAAAUCACUUCUAGUUGUAACAGAUCCACACUAGUGGGACCCAUGUUUGUCACCUCUAUGAUGUUUGAGGUUGACUUGGAGAAGAAUGUGUAGGGCCAAGGAGAUAAGGAAAAAAGUUCAGGGUGUUACUUGGUGGUAGAGCUAAAUGUGUUUAUUUUCACUUCAACUGUUGGUGGCAAUACUUGUUAGGUGGGCAAUGCUAAACACUGAGGGUAGGAGCAAAGGAGAUUAUCACUGUAUUCAUGUGUGCAAUAAUUUGUUUUUUGAUAUGCAUAUCAUCAAAACAACAGGGAUAAAUGGGCUGACACUAACCAUUCACUAUUAAUGUGGUCACCUACAUUUUGAUUGUUGUAUGCCAUUGGUUAACAGGUGGAGCUUGAUUCUGUCAAAAUGGAAUAUGCAAAUGCAAAACUUGAGUGCAAUGCUGCUGAUGAACGCGGAAAGAUUUUGGCUUCUGAGGUUAUUGGUUUGGAAGAGAAGGCUCUCAGACUAAGGUCUAGUGAACUAAAGCUGGAGAGGCAAUUGGAGAACUCACAUACUGAAAUUGCUUCAUACAAAAAGAAAAUGUCCAGCCUAGAGAAAGAUCGUCAGGACUUGCAAUCAACAAUUGAUGCUCUUCAAGAAGAGAAGAAACUAUUGCAAUCUAAGUUGCGGAAAGCUUCAACAAGCAGAAAUUCUAUUGAUGUUGACAAGAGUUCUGGUAAUAAAAAGGAUGUGUCAACAUCUACUGCAGAUUUAGGUAUGAAUUUCUAAUUUGUUUCAUGGUACUGUAAACACAUGUUUUAGGCAAAAUUUUGGAGACCUGAUUAAAUGGGCUUAAAUCUAAGCUUCUUGAAUGUCUCCUUGAGUCUUUUUUUCCCCUCGUAAUUUGUAGACCAUAAGUUUAAAGUUUAAUGAAAAGAACAUUCUGGAAUUCAGUCAAGCUUCUGCCAUCCUUAGUUGAUCAUAAAUUUGUGGGUUUCAUAUUCCUUUUGAGUGAGUCUAAAAUAAUUGUUCUUGAUUCUCUUGAAACAUGAACUUACUGAACUAAGAUUCUGUUGUCGCUUGUAGUUUUUAAGGGCUCAGUCUGCAUAUAGUCCUAGAUUUGAGUAUAUUGAAGGCAUUUCAAUUGUGGUAUAGCUGAAGUCUCCUGAUGACCUGGUGGUAAUGAGUGAUGUUUCUUGGUGUUGCUUGCUAUUGGGGAAUAUAUUUUCUGUUGCUUUUUUCAGUGAAUCUACUAGAGAGUUGUAUUAACCAUAGAAGACAUUUUUAUUGUUAUUGGAAAUAAAAUUGAAGUUUCGGAUGAAGGGUAAUUCUUGACCAAUAUGACUUUCUGGAAAGGCCCGUGAUUUGUUCUUUAAAGUUGGUUUUCUUACUUUCCUUUUAAGAUAUGGUUUCUUAUUUUGAUCCAAAUUGCAGACGCCAUCCCGUACACUUCUGACCAGGAAACAAAUGAUGCUACUUCACGUGUUGGAAGUGAUACCCUGAGUUUUCCCAUGCUAUCUGAAAAUGGCCAGUCAAAUCUUGAAGCUUCAUCUGAGUAUAUUCCUUCAGAUCAGAUGAGAAUGAUUGAAAACAUUAAUACACUAAUUUCUGAGGUUUGGUCUUUUAGAUUUUGUUGUUUCUUGCAAUUUUAUGAUUUUAGUUCUUCAUAAUUUUCCCUGGGUAAAUUGCAUCAAUCGUCCCUUAACUUAUAGUUAUUUCAUUUCAGUAAAAUAAAAUCUCUUAACUUUAGUUUUGUUUCAGAAAAGUUCCUUGACUUGUAAUAUCAGGUUUUUAAGUUAAAAAGAAUAAAAUUACUCUUUUGCUCUCUUUUCCUUCUUUUUCUUUUCCUUGCCUUUAUGAUUAAAUUAAUUAAUAAUUAUUAUCAAUA
rnacentral:misc_RNA from 1 species